rnacentral:misc_RNA from 1 species
UUGGUGGACUGUUCUUAAGGUAAAUUUUCAUUGCUACUCUUUUUAUAGAUUGAUGCUAAAUAUUCUAUCAUUAACUUGAUCAAUUAUUCUUUUUAAGCAAUAUAACAUUAAAAUUGUUGUUUGGUGUUGUUGGAACAUUUAUGCACUUGGCAUUCCUUUAGUGCAAGGGGUGUUUACCCAGUAACUUUAUCAAUUUGAUGGCCUCUCCUUCUUCUCCUUUGGUUCUUCCUUAGUUCCUUCUCUUUUUCUUCCUCUUAGAGUUGAGGAGGGUGAUGAGAGGUUGGAUCUAAUAGUUAUGUUGUUGAAUUUGUAUGGAAUAAAAAAAACUAUUGAAAUUAUUGCACAAUGACCUUGAAUAUUAGUAAGUUAUUUUGAUAAAAGAAAGUUUUAUUAGAAAGUAGAGAAAUAAUGAUUCUUAGAAGUUCUAGCAUUUCAUUUAGAAUGGGAUGCUAUCGUAUAGGCCACUAUCCGUCAUUUUUUUGGGUUUUCAAUACAGGAGAGGCUCUUUUCCUAUUUUGUGUGUGUAUCUAGCCUGGAUCAGCCAAUACGGAUACAGCAAUUUUGGCUAGCUACACAAAAUAUUCAUGUGUCAUGGUGUGUUUAUCCUCAUAAUUAUGUUAGUAACCUUCAGUUUUGACUUAUGCAGCUAGAAAAGGCAGCUUGAUGGCAUCAACCAGGUGGUUGUUCUCAUGCACAAUGACUGUCUAUCUAUUUGAAGAAAUAUUUGCUCUCUCUGCAAUCUCACUUUGUAAUUGGCAUCAUUAGAAGAUGGAAGAGUAUU